UCGUGGACCCGUGUGGCCGGAAGAGGGUGGUGAACUUUGGGCCAAUUGGACACCGCGAAGCGUCUCGAGCAACAAGGUUAUCCCAUCAGCCGGCGGUGAAGCGAAUUCCUGAACAAAGCUACAAUAGCAAAAUAAAACACGUUUUCAUCCACGAACGGUAUGGAAGAAAAAGAUAGCCGGCCGAUCGGCGUAAUCGAUCUCGACAGAUGCAUCAGCCUGUUGCUACUAGUAAAGGAAAAAGAAAAGAGGGAGAAAAGAAAAAUACUACGUGCACCGACAAGAAGAGGAAGAGGAAAAAGAAGUGUAGCACGUUGGAUCAAUGAGAGGGGCGCGUUGCACGCGCUUUCGCGAUAAUAAAUAUCUCGCCAUUUAUCACGUCAACUGAUUACACGCGGCAAAACGUUACCGAUUACCAUUUUCCGGACAGAUCGAUUUACGAUUUCAGUAAUUUUCCCGGACGGUCGUUCAUCGCUCGUAACUUGACGGGUAAAAACGUUCUACAAAAAUCGCCCCAUUCAAAUGAUUCGACUGCGUUUAAAAACCGAGGCAAAUGCGUUUGUCCCGGCAAUUAACGAGGAGGAAACUUUCUUAUUAACUUUCUUCGAGAAGGAACAACCACGGUGAAAUUUUUACGCAGCCGUGGCGGAGAAUAGAGAAAGAAAUUGUCGCGUGUCGACUAACUUCUCCAAUCGUCACGGUCUAUAUAUCUUAAUUUUUAGUUUUUAUUGCUUCAACGAUCUUUCAACUGGACGAUCUACGUGUUUGCGCAUCGCGUGCACGCGUAUUAUAUUAGUUUCCAACAAUUUAAUUUUUCGACAUACGUUACGGGAAAGUGAUCGGUGCGUCCAAUGAUAUCUUCUCGGAUCGUUGAAAAUUAAACGAGCUGAAAUACUAUCUAAUAUCGAUCAGAUGUCCCUGAACUACUUUCCAAUGGAAUGCGAGGAAACUAUGUAUUAAUCCGAAUCACUCCGUUUAAGAAAACGGAAAUAUAAUAUUCCGUUGCAUCGAUCGUAUUGAUCGUUAAAUGCGAGAAAUUACAAUAUGAACGAGCACGACUUUGAAAGUUGAGAGAUUAAAUAUAAAAACAAAAAUGCCUGGCUGGUUUCUCUCUUCUUUUAAUUACCACUAAGAAAUUAAGAGGCGUGCGAGUGCGUGAAGUUCAAGUACCCCACAAAUUGAUUGUAAUCUAUCGCUCUGGAAUCAUGUAUAGAAAUUUAUCAUCGUUAGACCCGUUAUUUCAUAUCCGGAUUAUUAUAAAUAUAACUCAUGCAUGUUCAUUAACUUCAUUGACUUCGAUAAUUUACAUUCUUGAAUCUCGAUUGCAUAUUGCUUUAAUAGAGUAAUUUCUUUCUCUCA